rnacentral:rRNA from 1 species
AAUGAACGCUGGCGGCGUGCCUAAUACAUGCAAGUCGAGCGAACAGACGAGGAGCUUGCUCCUCUGACGUUAGCGGCGGACGGGUGAGUAACACGUGGAUAACCUACCUAUAAGACUGGGAUAACUUCGGGAAACCGGAGCUAAUACCGGAUAAUAUAUUGAACCGCAUGGUUCAAUAGUGAAAGACGGUUUUGCUGUCACUUAUAGAUGGAUCCGCGCCGCAUUAGCUAGUUGGUAAGGUAACGGCUUACCAAGGCAACGAUGCGUAGCCGACCUGAGAGGGUGAUCGGCCACACUGGAACUGAGACACGGUCCAGACUCCUACGGGAGGCAGCAGUGGGGAAUCUUCCGCAAUGGGCGAAAGCCUGACGGAGCAACGCCGCGUGAGUGAUGAAGGUCUUCGGAUCGUAAACCUCUGUUAUUAGGGAAGAACAAAUGUGUAAGUAACUAUGCACGUCUUGACGGUACCUAAUCAGAAAGCCACGGCUAACUACGUG